GCUGGGCAUGGAGGUGUACACCUGUAAUCCUAGCAGCUCGGGAGGCUGAGACAGGAGAAUUGUGAGUUCAAAGCCAGCCUCAGCAAAAGUGAGGUGCUAAGCAAUUCAGUGAGAUUCUGUCUCUA
rnacentral:sRNA from 1 species